AUUUUUUUUUAUUGAUUGUCCGAUUGAUAAUAUUAUUUGUCCGAUCGUUUUUCUAUUUUAAAUUAAUUUUUUAGUGGAAUUAAUUUUUUAAUUAGUAAUUACCAAUGCGCAUGCGCAAAAGUAAAACAGCUUUGAGACAGCCGCCAUAUUUGUUUAUAUCUUAUCAGUGGUUGUACUCCAAUAUCGGAGUAAUUAUUAUGGAGAUACCUCUACCCUCCACAGUAGUUAUACAUGUUUACAUAAGUAUAAUGUUAUCUAUCAGCAAUGAGAAGUGAAAGGUAAGAGUUAAAAAAUUAAAAUUCGAUUGAACACAAGUCCUUUUUCAAGUGAGGUAAAAGCUGUGAAACUACCAUGCCUUUGAGCCUUCAGAAGGGCUACACAAUUCUUUGUAGUAUUCGUUUACCUUCUUUACUGUUUAUAUACUUUUUAGCAGCAAAUGGCCGACGACUGAACCAGAAGCAUUGAUUGCCGUUAUUAUAAAAAUGGCCUGUGUCGAGAGGGCGAUAACUAUCGGUAUCGAUGUUCAAAUCAGCAGUCUGGAGCUGAGCAGGAUGAAAUGACUGAUGCAGAUGACUCGGACAAUAAUACCAGCGAACAGGGAACCUCAUCAGUUCCUUGUCGUUUUUACAAAUGAGGAACCUCUAAGUUUGGCAAUCGCUGUUAUAUCCACACAGCCUCGACUAGUAAUCGCAGUGAUGAUCAAGAAUUAAAUUCUGGACAAAACUCUGGUCUAUCUGUCGUAGUAUCGUCACUUACUGACACAGGUCACUCAUCAUCGACGGCUUUUCCUCCAGUCGUCACUCCAGAUAAAUCAAAUAAGAACAAGUAUGAACCAAACGAAUGGGUCAAAGCACCAAAAUUUGUACCGACCACAUUGGCAGCCAUUAAUUGUGCUUUAAAUUACGACGACAUUGAUAAUGACAUCGAUAUGUUGUCAUUUAAAGCCAACAAACCAGAAUCGUAUGCUAGAACAGUCAACAAUUUAGGCCAGACAUUGAAUCCCGCAUCAGAACCUCUCUGUCCUUAUACAGAAUCAAGUAGAGUUUGCAAAAAACUUGAGUGUCCUUAUUUACAUGGAGAUAUUUGCGAGUUUUGCGGUAGUGCUGCUCUUUAUCUGUUCAAUAAAGAACGUCGACAGCAGCUUAUCGGCGCCUGCAUAAAAUAACAUGAGGCUGACAUGGAACUGUCGUUUGCUGUUCAACGGAGCCGCAGUAAAGCCUGUGGAGUUUGCUUCGAGGUUAUUAUGGAAAAGACCUCCUGUGAACAGAGAAGAUUUGGUAUAUUACCAAACUGUAAUCACUAUUUUUGUUUGAAUUGCAUUAGAAAAUAGCGUCAUGCUAAACAAUUUGAUAACCAAAUUAUACGGUCAUGUCCAAAAUGCUCGGACUUCGUUUGUCCCUGCAUAUAUUGGGUCGACACUAAUGAAGAAAAAGAAAAACUUAUCAUCAAGUAUAAAGGAGCACUGAGCCAGAAAGAUUGUAAGUACUUCAACAAGGGCCAAAGAAAAUGUCUCUUCGACAACAAAUGCUUUUAUCUUCAUGCCUUACCUGACGGAACUAAAACAGACGUUGGUCCUUCAGCACGUCAAGCUUCUCAUUCUAGCGGUGAAAUUGAUUUCCUUCAGCAAUUAAUAUUAUGGAAUUUUCUCGAAGAAAGAGACAAUCGCUGAAUCUAUAUAGAUGAUCAUGACGAAGUUGUCGUCGUGUACUCAGAUUCCGAAGAUUGCGUCUGGUUAAUCUGGUGAGAUUGACAAUGAUCUCGGAUCCGUACUCCAUUAUCAAGUCUCCGUUUAAAAAAAAAAUAAAACGCCAGAUAUAUAUAUAUAUAUAUUUUUUUUUUUUUGAUAGGUACGAAAAUAUUCGUUGAAAUUUUUGAGUACUUAUUCACGAUUUCAUGGCAUCAAGUACAGAAUUACAGUAUGAUCUAAUAUUAUAUAUUAUUGCUUAUUGAUUAUUUUUUUUUACGUGGUCAAUUAUUUGUGCACUAGUAAGUGUGUACUUAACUAAUAUUUUGAGUUAUCUACGAUUUAGCAGCUAUAAGAUUACGAUGGAAUACAUGGCAGAAAAAAGCUAUUAGGAUAAUUCGAAAAUACAAUAACAUUAAAGAAGAAUAUUAUCAACGAAAAGAGCUUUCUAGAAUACUAGCUAUACGUAUUUCCACGAUGCCUGGAAUUUUAAUCGUUAAAUUAUUGAUGGGGCGUCAACGAUAUGUAUUUGUUGAGUCUGCAAUUCAAGUCUUAAAGAAACAUAUUAAAUAUUUUAUCCCUGACUUACCACUAUGGUCUUCGGAAAUUUGGCAAAUAAUAUCCGAUGAAUUAAAAAACAAAUGGUCUAGUAAUUGUGUUCGUGUUAAUGUUCGUCAAGACAGAAAAAAGAUUUUAACUAUUGUCUGGCAAGAAUGUGGUUAUUUUUCUCAAAAUUCAAAUAUAUCUAAUAUUAAUGAUGAUAAUGAAUUGGAUAAUGACAAUCUGAAUAAAAGUAUUGAUAGCGAAAGUAGUAAUGAUGACGAUAAAAAUGACAUAGAUUAUGUCAACGAAAAUUGGUAUUUUCAUGAUUCUAAUGAAAUUGAAGAUUUUGGUGUGGAGAUUUUUAGAGAAGUAUGGAAUAAAAUUAUAACAAAAAAUAUUGACAGCAAUGGACAUCAGUAUAUUAAACUAUGAAAAAAUGUUUGGACAGAUAUUAUUGCAUUUGCUUUUUGGGAACAGUACCGCUUGAAAUGUAGCUUUAUGUUCAAAAAAAGUACUAUAAAUGAAAAUGCAGAUAAUUAUCUUUCCUUUUAUAGUUACUGUAAAAGUAAAAAAACUAUCUAAGAGAACGCCCAAUUUAUAUAUUUAUAUAGAGCUUGAUGUAAAAAAACAUGGGGAAACAGAAGGUCGAAUGUGUAAAUUACGUGAGCUGCCAGUAUACUUAAAUUUAAAAGCCAAUGAAUGUGGAGAUAUUCUUCGUUAUCGAUUAUCCGGAGUUGCAGGGUAUUCUACUUUCCACUAGAUAGCCUAUUGCAGAAGAGCAUCUGGUUCAUGGAUAUCGUAUAAUGAUAAUGCCAAGAAACCUGAAUCGGUGGCGGAUAGUUUAUCAAUAACACCUCAUGGUGUACUUUACAUAAGAUCCUAAAAUUGUAUUAUAUUGUAUAUAACAAAGUUGAGAAUAAUUUUAUUUUUAUUGAUACCUCAUUUGUGACAGGGUAAUUUUAAUAAACAAAAUAGUAAAUAAAUUUGAAUUUGAAUUUCGUUCCCGCCAAUGACCGGCCGAUGACCUCGUAAGUUACGAGUAGUAUUGCGACUAGUCACCGGGUGUCGCAUAGAUCACUAAGGCCCGUCCGUUCGUCAUUUCCUUAGUCUAAGGUAGUGGGAAUAAGUUUCCGGAAUGGUGAACGGGAGUGAAAUAAUAUAAUGGACUGCGGAACGAGAAGAAAGCAAAAAGAGAGUUGUCGGGACGACAAGUACAUCGAUAGAAAACAUCAGGUAAAUAGUGAAGUCCGUCCACGCUUCACGUGGAACGAGGCGAUUUUUUAAUUCAUAAUUUUUCCUACUUUAAAUUAUUAGGCCUUUAGGCCGAUAAUUAUCAUAACUAAUUAUUUAAUACAUCACUAAUACGUACUGUUCAUUGACAGGUUAUAAAGUAAAUUUUUGAGUGGAGAGAGAGAGAGAGGCGCUAAAUUUGAGAGGCCCAGAAUAGCCAGCAGAACAAAGGCAGCAGCUUUUGGAAAAUACGCAGCGCGUCUAAAUUUCAUAAGGUAAAAUUUAUAAUUGAUUAAGGCCUCUAAUUUUGAGGGCCGAAUUAAUUAUAAAUUAAUUACUUAGCAUCUUUCUACUGGUUGCGUGAAUUAGAUUGGUAACUCAAGGCCGUCGCCUAGUUUAGUCACGCGUCUCGCGUUCUCGAAAUUUCCGUAGAUUCUUUGCCGUGUACUUGUCUUUCUGUUGUAACUCUAAAUUUAUUUCAUUCGAGGCCUCUCGGCUGGAAUAAAAUAAAUUUUCCGCGUAAAUUAUCCAAUAAAUAAAUUAAAAUAAAUUCAAUAUUUUAAUAAAAGUAUUCAGGCCUGUCGGCCGCUCUAGACAAAAUUUGUCCGCAUGUAAGAUCAUAAAUUAAGGCCUUGCGACACCAAUUGACCGGCCGAAUAUUCUAGUAAAUUUAAGACGUAAUUCUAGUCGUUAAAUUAGUUAUGAAAAAUUUAUAAAAUAAUGUUGAAAUAAUUCUAAUUAAAAUUAUAAAAUCAAAAGUAAAACGCUAGACAAUUACGGUAAAUUUGUGUCGUGUAAAAGUUAAGAAGGAUUAUUUUGUCAGUAAAUUAAAUUGAGUAAAAAUAAUUAUCAGAAAUAGUGAGUAAAUUAAUGAUACCGAUUUUGAAAACAAAUAUUAAUGGGAAAAUUUUCAGUGGGAAAUUAAUUAAUUAAUAAUUAAAUUAAAACCUAAAUUAAUUAAUUAAUAAAUAUAAUUGAAUUAAAUAAGACAGUAAAAAUUAAUAAAUGAAUUAAAUAAAUCAAGGUAAAUAAGUAAGAAUUAAUAGUUGUGAAAUUUUUAUAUUGGAGAUUUUAUUGGUGAAAUUUUGUAUUGAAAAUCAAGUUUAUUAAUUGAGUAAAAGGAAAUGAAGUCAUAAAUUAAAUAGAGUUCAAAGUAGAGUCAAUAAUUUUAAGUAAAGAAAACUGUGUCUGUGAUUUAGGUCCGGUGGACAUGAUAAGGUUAUUUUAAAUAAUUACACAUCCAGGGGAUGUUUUUAAAUUAAAGUUAAGGCUUACCGUCCAGGGGACGAGAUAAAUUCAGUGGGUGUGUGGGUGUGGAAAUCCGUCCAGGGGACGAGGAAAAUUUAGUUUGUCAUAAGAAUCCGUCCAGGGGACGAGGAAAUUUAGUUUGUCAUAAGAAUCCGUCCAGGGGACGAGGAAAUUAGUUUGUCAUAAGAAUUUUAGUUUGUCAUAAGGAAUUUAGUUUGUCAUAAGGAAAUUAGUUUGUCAUAGAAAAAUAUUAGUUUGUCAUAAGUAUAAGGAAAUAAUUAUUGUCAAAAGGUAAUGAAUAAAGCAAGGUGCUUAAACUAAAUAAAAUUUGAAUUAACAUUAUUUCAGCCUACUCUACGAUUCCUCUUCUCACUCACAAAAUAUUACGAACGACCCUGAGUAACAAAUUAAUUUAAAUUAAUAAAAAUAAAAUCCUCCAACAUCCGGUUCUGGAAGGCCGAGUCCAUCUUCCAGUGGCGCCCUAAUAUUCGACCAUAAUACUAGGUGCGACCAGACUUGGCAAGAUUAGUCUCUCUGUCAUAUUUGGCGCCCAACUUUUAAGUAUAAAAACCCCCCGUAAAAUUUUGUGAGAGUGUUGAGGAGUUGAGAUUUGCUGAGGUAUUGCAACAAAAUUUUUGAAAAAUGUGGGACAUAAAAUCUUGAAAUAAAUAAAAUAAAUUAGUAAGGAGGAAAAUUUUGAAAUUGAAAUAAAGUGUGGGAUUAAAUAUAUUAAUAGAUAGAAAUUUUGAAAUAUUAUUAUGACAAAAAUAAAAUAAAUAAGAGUGAUAGAAAUAUUGAAAUAUUACUUGAGGAUUAAAAUCAAAUAAAAUUACUCAUACUAAAUUCUCACUAAUAAAAGAAUUCAAGAGAUUAAAACUUAAAAUAAAACUAUCGAAAUAUCAAAUAAAAUUUAGUGUUAGAAAUAUUUCAAACAGACAACAGUUGAUUUUACAUUAUAAUUACUUAAUUAUUUAAUUCAUUUAUUUUAUUAGAUUAAAAUUAACCGGAAAUAGAUAAAAUAAAUUAUCGAUGAGUCAUUAAGAAGCUUAUCAUAAUUUAUAUAGUAACUUAAAAUAAAAUAAAUUUUAAACUUUACAAAAUUAAAUUUAAUUUACAAUAACAAAAUAAUCCGUCGACAAUAGAGAAACAAUAGUUUACAAUAUAUUUAGUAGUUUUAUAAUCCCGAUACAAAAGAAAACUUUAUCAUUCAAUAUAUUUCAAUCAACAAAAUACGAUACAAAAUGGAUAAUCUACUACAACAACACGGACUUAUCGAUGAAGAAACAAGAAGAUCGUCAAAUGGUCGUGGUCGUGUACAACAACAAUUACCAAUUAUCAAUCCGGGUUUACCACAAAUACCAACCGUUUCGUCAACAACAUCAACUACGUCUUCAGUAACAACUACUAUGAGUACUAGAAUAAGUCAUCCAUCUCAACUACAAAACUUGAACAAUCCAAAUCCAUUGGAUAGACAGAACACAUUGCCAGCACGCAUGGUUGAUGAUCGUUUUGAGGAUGUGGAUGAAGCCGCGGGAGGUGAUAUACCACAAGAAUUUCGGGUGAUCUUUAAUAGAAUGGAUCUAGCAUCUCAUCAGGUUCGACAGAUGUCAUUGGAACAACGUGCAAUUAAUGAGGACAAUUCGCGGUCAAUUAAUCAACUGACACGCAUGCUGGGUGAUAUGAUGAAUACACAGAGAGAGCUAUUAGACCGGAUAACCUCUCGUGAUAAUUCUUUACGAGGAAGUUCCCCUGUGAAUUGGCAGGCAGCUGAAUUCCAACUAGGAGGUUCAACCUUUGCCCCGAUGGGUCAAGGUUUGGCAGGGGGGAGAGACCAUCCAGCUGCAUCAAGGCCUCAACCUGAUAAUCAUCAAGAAAGAGCCGAACCAAGUCAAGAUAUUCCAUUGGCUGAAAGAAUAAAUUUUCUUCAAAAUCAAUUACAACAGCUACGGUCAACACAACAACGUCAGUCGAGUGGUCCUCAAAAUAAUUUGGGAUCGAGUGGAGGCCCGGUACCCCAGGCCUUUUCUAACAUAAGGCCGAGGUCGGCCGCUCCGAUCCAAAAUUUACAACAAAGUCCAUCUGGGUUGUACACAGAUGACAGAAGGUGGAAAGGAAUCAUGCAAAGUCUUAAAAUGGGUAAUUUAUUUUAUCCACAAGAAGGAAUGUCUGUCAACGAGUUCUUGUUCGCAGUAGAGUCCAGAGCACGCAGAGAGGGUUGGACACAAGAUGAAUUACUGAAAGCUAUGAGCUACAUUUUACAUGGCACUGCAGCAAGAUGGUACGAUGCAAAUUACAAAGGUUGGACGGAUUUUGAACACUUCAAGUCUGAGUUCAUUAAAGCUUGUGGAACAUCUACAACAGACCAUCAAAUCAUAAUGGAAAUCAGUAAGCUCCGUAUGAAACCUGGGGAAAGCCCAACAGAAUUUGUACUAAAAAUACAACAGAAAUAUCAGAGCAUGCAGAUUCCACCUCCUGUUGAUGAUCAAGUGGCAUGCAUCAGAAACCAUCUUACUGAUGAAUUGAGAUUACUUGUAUUUGCGAGGCCAGUAUUUACCUAUGAGCACCUGUUUAACGCCUUACACGAAGCAACCAGAUGUAUUGACGAAGCUCAACAACCAGCUCCAACAGUAAAAACAGUGAAAUUCCAGGAUAAACCACGAUUUGGUUUAUUACAAUCUACACCAGAGAAUCUCAGCCAUGAAGAGGAUGAAUAUGAGUUAACAAAUUGUAACGUAAUGGAGUCGUCUAGUCCAUCAUCUUAUAACAACAAAUAUGGCGUUCAGACUAGACCAACGAACAAUAAUUAUUCAUCAUCUUACAAUCAAAGACAACAGAACUAUUAUCGGCCACGUAUGAACCAACCUGCGGGUUUUUCAAGUAAUUAUAAUCGAUAUCCUUCAUCACCACCGAGAAUUAAUCGGCCAUGCUUUAAUUGUGGGAUUCAUGGACACAUGUUUGAAGUAUGUGAGAACCCGAGACAAGAUGUUUGCAACUACUGUUUUGAAAUUGGUCAUCUUAGAAAUAAUUGUAGUUUGUUGGUUCGAGGUAAUAAUAAUAGUUCACCACAAAAUGUACAACAAGACAAUCGGGAUACGGGUCGUCAAGACAAUAUAAUUAAUACUGAAGAUGAACGAAAAAACCAGUAAAGCCUGUCC